rfam:Oryza glumipatula chromosome 2, whole genome shotgun sequence.
AAUAAGUGCAGCCAUGAGUUUCCGCGUCCAACUUUAAUCGUCCGUCUUAUUUGAAAAUUUUUUAUAACUAGCAUUUUUGUUGUUAUAGGAUGAUAAAACAUGAAUAGUAGUUCACUUGUGACUUAUGUUUUUAUUUUUUUUUCAAAUAAGACGAAUGGUUAAAGUUGGACGCGGAAAAUCAUGGCUACGCUUAUU